rnacentral:rRNA from 1 species
GACGUAGGUGGCGAACGUUAUCCGGAAUUAUUGGGCGUAAAGGGUGCGUAGGCGGCAUGAUAAGUUAUUGGCGGCAAAUCGAGGCUCAACCUCGUGGAAACUGAUAAUACUGUCUUGCUUGAGUGCAGAAGAGGUUAACGGAACUCCAUGUGGAGCGGUAAAAUGUGUAGAUAUAUGGAAGAACAUCAAUAACGGCGAAGGCAGUUAACUAUUCUGUUACUGACGUUGAGGCAC